GAGGAAUAUUGGUCAAUGGGCGCAAGCCUGAACCAGCCAUGCCGCGUGCAGGAUGACGGUCCUAUGGAUUGUAAACUGCUUUUGUACGAGAAGAAACACUCCUUCGUGAAGGAGCUUGACGGUAUCGUAAGAAUAAGGAUCGGCUAACUCC
rnacentral:rRNA from 1 species